UUAUUUGAAUUUUGCAUGAUACUACCAUUGUAUUUUUCUUAAUUCUUUUAUUUUUCGUUCCUUCCUCGAAGUUCUUACAAAAGCUACCGUCCAUUUUGAAUUGUAUAAAUAAAUAAGUUGUGCUUCCUAAAGUAUUAGCAUCAUCCAUAACAUAAUAAUUUAUUGUUUAUUGUUAUUAUUAUUUUUGGUAUUUCUUCAUUGUGUGAAGUGAAAUUGUUAUAAACGUUUCUCUCUUUGUUUCUUCUUUUGUAGAAACUCAAGGAAGCGAAAUUGAAUUUCACUUCAAAUUCUAAACUCUGCCGAAUCAAUAUAAAUUUAUCAAAGGCGUUUCAUGAUCGAAAUUCAAACGAGUAAAAUGGAUUCAUCAUCAAUAUCGGUGACCGUGCAAGAAAUAAUGAAGAUUCACAGAUCAUUACCAGCGAGGCCGAAAACAGAGGAGGUUGAAGCGGCGAUGACGGUGGUGGAAAACGCCGAGAGAGAAGAAGCGUCGAGACUAGAAGCACUUUCAUCUUCGGCGAGAAAGAACAAAGGUUCUUCUUCAAUGGCGGAAGAAGAUAUUUUCGCAAUUCUACAAGAGAUGAAGAAGAGUAUAAUUUGUUUCCAAUGCAAAGAGAAAAAAAGAGAAGCUAUUAAACUGUUAGAACUCGAAAAUGUUCAUGUUCUCUUCGAUGAAUUGAUUCUAAGGGCUUCUAACUGUGUUAGUGGGCCUAACUUUGUUACUGGGCCGUCUAAGGCCCAUACUGCUUCUGUUUCUGUUUCUUCUUCCGGUUUGUUGAACAAAGAAACGGUUAAUAUUAAGAAGCCUUUGGAGUUAAAAUUGUUGAGUAGAGAUGACAGUUAUUUGAAUACUAAUAAGGUCAAGUCUAGAUUCUACAAUGAUGCUUAUGGAAUUGGACACAACAUUGAGUCCUCAAUGAAACAUGCAUCCACUUCAGGUAAAGAAUAUGGUGGUGGUGAAAAUAAGUUGAGUUUGAUAAAACUAGCCAACUUAAUCGAAGUUUGUGCAAAAAAAGGUGCACGUGAACUAAAACUACAGAACAAGUUAAUGGACACAGUUGAUUGGUUACCCGAUUCAUUAGGGAAGUUAUCAAGUUUAAUCACUUUGGAUUUAUCACAAAACCGAAUCAUAACUCUUCCUUUCACAAUAACCACCCUUUCAUCCCUGACUCAUUUAGAUUUACAUUCAAAUCGAAUCACAGAUCUACCAGAUUCUUUUGAAGGUAUCAUUAAUUUAAUUCACUUAAACAUUAGUGGAAACAUGUUACAGUCUCUACCACCAUCUCUUACCAAAUUGGUUCAUCUUAAAGAACUUUAUUUAAACUCAAAUCAAUUAUCCUCACUUCCUGAUUCAAUUGGGUCACUUGUUAGCUUAAAAGUUUUAAAUGUUGAAACAAAUGACAUAGAAGAAAUUCCACAUUCAAUUGGUAAUUGUUGUUCCCUUAAAGAGCUAUGUUGUGAUUAUAAUAAGCUUAAAGCUUUACCUGAAGCUGUAGGGAAAAUUCAGAGCCUUGAGAUUUUAUCUGUGAGGUACAACAAUGUUAAACAGUUACCUACGACGAUGUCGUGUUUGGUUAAUCUUAAGGAACUUAAUGUGAGUUUUAAUGAGAUUGAGUUUGUUCCUGAGAGUUUGUGUUUUGCUACUAAUCUUGUUAAGAUGAAUGUUGGGAAUAAUUUUGCUGAUAUGAGAUCAUUACCAAGGUCUAUUGGGAACCUUGAAAUGCUUGAGGAAUUGGAUAUUAGUAAUAAUCAGAUACGUGUUCUUCCUGAUUCUUUUAGAAUGCUUACUCGACUUAAGAUACUUAAAGUGGAAGAAAAUCCUCUUGAAGUCCCUCCAAGAAAUAUAGCUGAAAAGGGAGCACAGGCAGUUGUGCAGUACAUGGCUGAGCUUGUGGAGAAAGGGGAUGUAAAAUCACAGCCACUCAUCAGGCAGAAAAAGAGUUGGGCUGAUCAAAUAUGCUUCUUUUCAAAGUCUAACAAAAGAAAGCGUGAUGGGGUUGAUAAUUAUGUGAAGGCCUGAUUAAGUUCAAUUAAAUCAUUGGUGGAAAGUUACAUAUUCCAGGAUAUUAAUGGUGUCAAACAAGUCUAUAAUAUCCUACCAGCAGAAAAUAGAUAUGGAAGAAGGGAGAUGGGAAAGGUGUAUUAUCUAUGAUGUGACUUCAGUUUUUUUUUGUUUUGUUGACGGAACAGGUGACUUGAGUUCAAUAACGUUUUUUGCAACCAAUGAAAUUGAAAAGCUGAGCUGGAUUUGACGUUUUUUUACUUUGAAAAAAGUGUAUCCAUAAAUUUAGAAACAUCUUCUGCAUAUUUUGUGUGACAACAUGAGUUUCCAUGCAUCAUCUUUGCGAGUGAGUCCAAAAAUAUUAUCAUAUAUUACGUUCUUUCAACGCUUGGGGGAUUUUCAUAUAUCCUCUUUGACCUGCAUCCACUAUUCAAUAACUUCCUAUAUACACAAUAUUGGAAGUUACUAUGCAUCACCUUCUUAUCUAGAUUGUAUUGUUUAGAUUUUUAAAAAAUACAAAUAAAAAUAUUGAACUUGAAAUUUAAAGUGUCACAUUUCGAUCGAAUGGUCACAUAGUAAGUAAAUUUAUGAAUACAUGUAUUUAGUAAUUGGAUAAAUGCAUGCUCUAAGUGAAAAUAGAGAAUUCCUGAAUUUAUAUACACAUAUACAUUAAAAAUUUAAUAAACUAAUAAUCUUUCUAUGUUGAUUUUGUCAUUGAUAUAGUUUCGAAAUGUAGCUGUUGUUUAUAAACUUGGAUAUUAUACCAUAAAAUGUAGAAAUAAAUAUGAUCAAUAUGGUUGUAGUUGCAAUUGUAAUGCUCUUGUAGACCUCUAAAAUGUUUUAUUACAUGUACAAUUGCAAAUCGUAAUUUUUAAUUAUUGUCAUUGGUUUAUAUAAUUUAUGGCGGAUCAAUUAAUUAGUGAAAUGGUAAACGAGAUGACGAGAGUACUAUUCAAUAGUAUUAAUGUUAUUGUUCCGGUUUUUAAUAGAUGAAAACACCUUGAUACGUCUUCUCUUAUACUAAAGAAAAAACGGACACGAAAAUUAGCUACACAACUACCAAAACAAAAUUUACAAGACAAAUCCUCUCAUAUUAGAAAAGAAGAUAGACAUCAAAAGUUGUAUUAACAAUAUUUAUAUCACGCCAACAAUCACAACAUCACCACGACUACAAUUUAAAAUUUGCCAUAAAAUACUUUCGCCUUUUACGUUAAAAGAUGUUUAAGAAAAUAGAUUGAAACUAAACAUUUUCCAAAGCAUUUGAAACAUGAUCCAUAUAUUUCAUAAAAGAGGACAUAUUUUCAAGAUAAAGCAUGCAUAAUAACAUAAAAAAAAAAAAAAAAAA